rnacentral:tRNA from 1 species
UAUGGCGCAGUAGGCAGCGUGUGAGUCUCAUAAUCUCAAGGUCGUGAGUUCGAUCCUCACUCGGGGCA